UACGAAGGGAGCUAGCGUUGUUCGGAAUCACUGGGCGUAAAGCGCACGUAGGCGGAUUUGCCAGUCAGGGGUGAAAUCCCGGGGCUCAACCUCGGAACUGCCUUUGAUACAGCAAGUCUUGAGUUCGAGAGAGGUGGGUGGAAUUCCUAGUGUAGAGGUGAAAUUCGUAGAUAUUAGGAAGAACACCGGUGGCGAAGGCGGCCAAAUGGCUCGACACUGACGCUGAGGUGCGAAAGCGUGGGGAGCAAACAGG
rnacentral:rRNA from 1 species